rnacentral:lncRNA from 1 species
GUGACCCACAAACUACAAGAUCGAGGAGCCCCCAGAAAUGCAGACCCUCUGGAUAUAUGGCUGCAGCAGCAUGGCGUGUGAUCUGGAUGGUCAUGUCAGGCUCCACCGUCGCCGAUUACUAGACGGACCAAAUGAGGCCAAAAACUAGCCUUUCCUCACUCCUUUCCUGGGAAGUGAAAUAGCAGGUAAUCAUGUAAGAAUGAACUUGCAACAUGUGAGCAGUAGCCAAAGCUCCAUACAGGUGAUGCUGGUGGUGGAAUGAUAAGACAAACCGCAAUAUUUAUUUGUUUACUUAUUCACGUAAUAUUUAUUUAUUCAUAUCUCAUGAAUACUGUGCAGUUUUCCAGCAAGGAAUCUGGUAAAAUACAGAAAUAUCGUUGCAUCAAAGUAAACAUGUUGUUUGAAAAAGCAUAAUUCAUGUAGCAAAGUACCAUGAUGAAAAAUUUUUAGACAACUAGUCUGCUUUUGAUACGAAUUCCUGAAAACUGCAAAUUUUGAAGAAACAGAGGAGUAAGGUUAACAAAUCUUACUCAUAACUAAAAAAUGAGAUCACAUUUCUGUUACACCUAAUACCAUAAUUUAAUCUGGCAAACUUGAUAUACCAUAUGCUGCUCUAAUAUACAAUCACUAAUUUAUGAGUAGAUGUGCAAAACUCUCAAACAUUGCAACAAUUUCAUGUAAGCUGUAAAUUCAUAUAUAAAAUUUGUUGACUUUAGACGUAGCAGAUGGAGUCUGCAGAACUGUGAUAUCUCUUUCUGGCACAAAGAUGUGGAUUAUUAAGCUGCGUGGUGUUAUUUUUCUUAAACCUGCCAAAUAGUUCUUCUUGCAACAAGUAGAAUUCUCAAAUGCCACGAACUUAACUCAAGUUAGUGCUGUGGUCGUCUCAAAAGCAUUUUGGAUGUACUUGAGUAGGAAAAUUUACAGAAUUAACGAACUUGGGCUAGUUCUUUUUUUAAUUUACAGUUGCAAACAGAUAAGUUCCUUUCCUUCAAGUUUUGCUAUUUUCAGCAAAUUUUAAUAAAAGUUGAUGGUGUUAAUGUAAAAACUAUGAUUUAAACAUUUUUAAAUGUAUCAAACCUCAUCAAAUUUGGUGCCAUAGUUGCCGAGUAAAACGAUUUUACUGUUCAUGUGCAUUACAUAGGAGCUCCCAAGCUAAAUCUCCUUUUUAGUCAUUGCGUGUGUGGGUCUGGUUUGUAUUUCUCACCCUAAUUUUAGAAUAUUGGCUCUGAUCUCAAAAUUGUUUCCCUUACAAC